rfam:Gossypium raimondii Chr04_contig_663, whole genome shotgun sequence.
AUCUCGUGGUGAGGGCAUAUAAAGAGUGACUCAUUGAGUCUUUCACAUGCCUUAUAUAAGGAUUCAUCAUCCAAUUUUUGAAUAGUGGUGAUCUCAUUCCGCAACU